AACAUCACGAAGUCGCUCUCCACCCCAUCGGCUCGACUUAGCAAACAUCAAAGGUACUCUUUCUUGUCCUGACCUCACUCUGGUAAUGGUUCCUACUCUUCAGUAAAUGAGAGAGAGCCCUAAGCCGCUGCCCUCUCCUCCUCUCACUCCUAUCCGUUAUUCUUCUUUUUCUUGGAAGAAUAGGUGACGGCGCCUGGCGGAGGCAGAGGCAAAGGCGAGGUCACGGGUUCGACGAUGCGUGGGUCUUCUUCUCCUCAGCACACGACGGAGGCGAGAUCUGGCUACACUUUCCUAAUUGCAAAUGCUGCAAGGGUGAGAGCCUUCUUUGGAUGCCCAGUUGAUGAACGCAAGGACUUUCUGCUGCAAAUGAUGUAUAGUCCUCAGGACUGUUGAGGUACUUUGUAAAAUUGCAGAUAAGUGAGUCUAGGCUUCAAAAGUGAUGUUAAUUUAACAUACCAUAGUUGCAGCAAGAAUAAAAAAUAAUAAUAAUUCAGUGUAACAAACAUUUAUAGUUUUUUCAGAUGACUGUGUUCGGUUGUUUUGAUUAUCAAGUUAAUAGAUAGAAUCAUUUUCUA